CAAUGGAAGCCUCAAAAGUAAAAUCAAGCAAGUCUUCCGGAGAAAUAAAGAAGACUUUCGUUGAUUUUCAGUACACUUUAAAGUUCCAACACUUGGGGUUUAAGCCUAUCAACGAUUCUUUUGAAGUGGACACUUGAUUAUAAGCAGCAAUCAACUUUUCAUCCUUUGCAUAAGCAGCGAAACAAAGCUCAGAAACUGCAAACUCAAGAUCUUGAAUCUAAGCUGCAAAGGAGUGGGGGCAGACAUAUGAGACCCCUUCAAAGCAACAAGCUCAGAAUCUGCCAUAAUAUUUGUUGUCUCCUUAGUAGCCUUGCUAUAUCUGCAUCAUAGCAAGCAUAGCAGUCCUUCUAUAAUUGGGUCGUAUACUUCGCAAACGAGCUUGGGCAAACACCUUUCUGACGCCAUCAACAAACUUGGCACAAGCGUCCAUGUUUUCAAGAGAUCUGGUUUCAAAAGCACAUAGAUCUCAGCAGCCCCUCCAGAAGCAAGCUUAGUGGAUUUCUCACAGCUGCCUACGCGAGCAGUCUCCUCAUUCCCAUCAGGCGAAUCAGUCUCAGUGAAGGAAAUUUUGUGAAAAACAUGUUCUUUUGAGCAACAUCUAUAGCGUGCAAUUAACAAAUUAAAGGCGGAAUCAUGCUUGUAUGCACUCAAAAACAAAACAUUACCCAUGAAAUUCAAAGCCUAGUAGUUAGGUGAACCAAGACUCAACUCAAAACAAAGUGAGUUGAGAAAUUUAUACCUUUGUUGAUUCCUCUUUGCAUAAGCAAAGGAUAAUCACCCAAGAGAUAGGGCCUUCAUUCCUUACUUCUUAGCUCCAUGGAUUUGGAUGGAAGAAUUGGUUUCUCCAAGUUCUCAAAGUUGAGAACCUCUA
rnacentral:lncRNA from 1 species